rnacentral:rRNA from 1 species
AGCCUGCCCAGUGACUCUGUUCAACGGCCGCGGUAUCCUAACCGUGCGAAGGUAGCGUAAUCACUUGUUCUUUAAAUGUGGACUAGUAUGAAUGGCAUCACGAAGGUUAUACUGUCUCCUUUUUCUAAUCAGUGAAACUAAUCUCCCCGUGAAGAAGCGAGGAUAAAACUAUAAGACGAGAAGACCCUAUGGAGCUUUAAACAUUUAUAACACUUGCUAAAUAAAAUACAAAUUUCAGAAUUAUUUACUCUUUAAGCAACUUGUCUAUAAGUUUUUGGUUGGGGUGACCGCGGAGCAUAAUACAACCUCCAUGUUGAAAGAUCUAUUUCUAAGCUAAGAGCUACACCUCUAAGCAUCAACAUAUUGACAUCCAUUGACCCAAUAUAUUUGAACAACGAACCAAGUUACCCUAGGGAUAACAGCGCAAUCCACUUCAAGAGCUCCUAUCGACAAGUGGGUUUACGACCUCGAUGUUGGAUCAGGGUUUCCCAGUGGUGCAGCCCUACUAAAGGUUCGUUUG